AAACAACAAUUAAAUUACCUAUUGUUCGCCCAAUAACUACGAGUAAAAACUUAAAAUUUAAAAGACUUGACGGUACUUCACAACAACCUAGAGGAGCCUGUCUAAUAACCGAUACCCCACGAUAAACCCGACCCACUCUAGCCUACAGUCUAUAUACCGCCGUCGCCAGCCUACCUUGUGAAAGAAACAAAGUGGGCCCAACAACAAUACAUUAACACGACAGGUCGAGGUGUAACUUAUGAGCGGGUCAAAGAUGGGCUACAUUUUCUACAACAGAAAAUACGAAUCAACUAUGAAAUUAGAAACUAAAGGCGGAUUUAGCAGUAAGCUAACGACAAAAUACUUAGCUAAAACUAUAGCAAUGAAGUGUGUACACACCGCCCGUCAUCCCUGUAAAACACCCCUACCAUACAUAAUCUACCUAAUACCCAAAACAGGGCAAGUCGUAACACGGUAAGCGUACUGGAAAGUGCGCUUAGAA
rnacentral:rRNA from 1 species